rnacentral:rRNA from 1 species
GACGAACGCUGGCGGCGUGCCUAAUACAUGCAAGUCGAACGCUUCUUUCCUCCCGAGUGCUUGCACUCAAUUGGAAAGAGGAGUGGCGGACGGGUGAGUAACACGUGGGUAACCUACCCAUCAGAGGGGGAUAACACUUGGAAACAGGUGCUAAUACCGCAUAACAGUUUAUGCCGCAUGCAUAAGAGUGAAAGGCGCUUUCGGGUGUCGCUGAUGGAUGGACCCGCGGUGCAUUAGCUAGUUGGUGAGGUAACGGCUCACCAAGGCCACGAUGCAUAGCCGACCUGAGAGGGUGAUCGGCCACACUGGGACUGAGACACGGCCCAGACUCCUACGGGAGGCAGCAGUAGGGAAUCUUCGGCAAUGGACGAAAGUCUGACCGAGCAACGCCGCGUGAGUGAAGAAGGUUUUCGGAUCGUAAAACUCUGUUGUUAGAGAAGAACAAGGACGUUAGUAACUGAACGUCCCCUGACGGUAUCUAACCAGAAAGCCACGGCUAACUACGUG